CUUUUCUGUGAAGGGAGUAGGACACUUCUUCAGUUUCUCUGCAAUUUCUCACAUGGAAUAGCUUUCAGAAUCAGCUUUAUUCGCCAAGCAGAACCUCUGUUCUGUAUCUGAAGUGGGAGACCCCACGUAAGGUAACGGCACGGAUACUGAUACAGCGAUGUUGCUGCAGUCCUGUCAGUCUGACUACAACUCUAUACUCGAGAUGAAGAAGACCACAGAUAAAGGACUGUUAUGCCUUUUUGUAUCUUUAUAUACAUUGUUUUGUAAUGUUGAAAACAGAUGCUGUGCAUCCUAUGGAUUUAGUUUUUUUACACUGUUGGGAAGAAAAUGCCUCAAUAGAACUCAAACCCCUACAGCUGCAACGGAACUGAGACAGUCAGCUUGUUUUUCAUGGUGGAGAAGAUUGUUAUUUGCACAAGUUAUGUUUGAAUGUGUAAUAUUAAAAAGGUAUUCAACAAA